GAACCGCUUUCGGGCGGGGAUUAGUGGCGAACGGGUGAGUAACACGUGGGCAAUCUGCCCUGCACUCUGGGACAAGCCCUGGAAACGGGGUCUAAUACCGGAUAUGACCGUCUGCCGCAUGGUGGAUGGUGUAAAGCUCCGGCGGUGCAGGAUGAGCCCGCGGCCUAUCAGCUUGUUGGUGAGGUAGUGGCUCACCAAGGCGACGACGGGUAGCCGGCCUGAGAGGGCGACCGGCCACACUGGGACUGAGACACGGCCCAGACUCCUACGGGAGGCAGCAGUGGGGAAUAUUGCACAAUGGGCGAAAGCCUGAUGCAGCGACGCCGCGUGAGGGAUGACGGCCUUCGGGUUGUAAACCUCUUUCAGCAGGGAAGAAGCGAAAGUGACGGUACCUGCAGAAGAAGCGCCGGCUAACUACGUGCCAGCAGCCGCGGUAAUACGUAGGGCGCAAGCGUUGUCCGGAAUUAUUGGGCGUAAAGAGCUCGUAGGCGGCUUGUCACGUCGGUUGUGAAAGCCCGGGGCUUAACCCCGGGUCUGCAGUCGAUACGGGCAGGCUAGAGUUCGGUAGGGGAGAUCGGAAUUCCUGGUGUAGCGGUGAAAUGCGCAGAUAUCAGGAGGAACA
rnacentral:rRNA from 1 species